CCUACGGGGGGCAGCAGUGAGGAAUAUUGGUCAAUGGGCGCAAGCCUGAACCAGCCAAGUCGCGUGAGGGAAGACGGCCCUACGGGUUGUAAACCUCUUUUGCCGGGGAGCAAGCCUGAGCACGUGUGCCCAGGCGGAGAGUACCCGGAGAAAAAGCAUCGGCUAACUCCGUGCCAGCAGCCGCGGUAAUACGGAGGAUGCGAGCGUUAUCCGGAUUUAUUGGGUUUAAAGGGUGCGCAGGCGGGCUGUUAAGCCGGCGGUAAAAAUUCAGGGCUCAACCGUAAAAUUGCAAUUGAUACUGGCAGCCUUGAGUACAGUUGAGGUAGGCGGAAUUCGUGGUGUAGCGGUGAAAUGCUUAGAUAUCACGAAGAACUCCGAUUGCGAAGGCAGCCUACUAAACUGCCACUGACAUUGAUGCUCGAAAGUGUGGGUAUCAAACAGGAUUAGAUACCCGAGUAGUC
rnacentral:rRNA from 1 species